GCUCCUGAGGUGUAACGAGACUGCAUACGGUUCUGCGAAGACCGAGGCUCGAGGUGCAAGUCCUCGCGGGAGCA
rnacentral:tRNA from 1 species